rnacentral:lncRNA from 1 species
UCAUUACUAGCCUGUACCCCCGCACACUGACUCGGUACCGGUACCCCCUGUAUAUAGCCUCGAUAUUGUUAUUCUUAUUGUCUUACUUUUUAUUAUUACUUAUUACUUUAUACUUUUUAGCCUAAUUGGUCAAUAUUUUCUUCUUCUUGAACUGCAUUGUUGGUUAAAGGGCUUGUAAGUGAACAUUUCACGGUGAGGUCUACAGUUGUUGUAUUCGGCGCAUGUGGCAAAUAAAGUUUGAUUUGAUGUGAUAAAUCAUACCGGGCCCAGUUUCCCCCCGUAGCGAUGGAAUUUAGGAUUAUGAUUGUUUUAACGAUGCAUCUUUUCUACAACGGCCCGAAUAUGUAACAAACGUUUUCCCUCAAACAUCACGCAGAGAGAAAAUGGUCGCUAAAUGCGUCGUCGGAGCACGUGUCCAUACUGAUAGGAUUGAAAGGAAGGGAGCGUUGUUCUUGGAUCCGUUUUUCCUCGAUUCAAAUCGUUCCUUAGUAUUAGAAUUAUUGCACAAUACUAGAGCGACAUAACCGGCUUAUUCUAAUGCUUAGCCAAACUAAAUAACCAAUUCGGCACAUCAUUGCUUACAUUUUACGCCAUGUAUCAUGAAAUAUAUUGAGACUAAUUACAGACAGUAGCCUACAAGUAGCAAAAUAUAACUCCUUUGAUAUAACAUGUUAUUUCACUAUGAUUGAAAUAGGUCUAUAGCCUACUAUUUCUAUUUCAAUGCAGUCAUCUCGCUUUUCAUUUGAAGCAUAUUUUUUAUAUACAUCACUUGUUUGCAUCACUUGCAAAGACAUUGGCAACUUUGUAUUUGUAGUCGACUGUGUUCUGAAGUUAUUGGCAGGUCACAGAGAAACAGAUAAACAAUGUGAUUCUAUGAUUAGCGGAGAUCUACUGUGUAUGAAGAAACACGGGAGGGCAAAAAAAAAGCAUUGAGCGGUGUGCUUAGCUGUUCUACGAAUGGUCUGAGGGCAGGAGUUAGAUUACCAGUGGUCUGAGGGCAGGAGUUAGAUUACCAGUGGUCUGAGGCGUUAGAUUACCAGUGGUCUGAGGCGUUAGAUUACCAGUGGUCUGAGGCAUUAGAUUACCAGUGGUCUGAGGCGUUAGAUUACCAGUGGUCUGAGGGCAGGCGUUAGAUUACCAGUGGUUUGAGGCGUUAGAUUACCAGUUGUCUGAGGCGUUAGAUUACCAGUGGUCUGAGGCGUUAGAUUACCAGUGGUCUGAGGCGUUAGAUUACCAGUGGUCUGAGGCGUUAGAUUACCAGUGGUCUGAGGGCAGGCGUUAGAUUACCAGUGGCCUGAGGGCAGGAGUUAGAUUACCAGUGGUCUGAGGGCAGGCGUUAGAUUACCAGUGGUUUUUGGGCAGGCGUUAGAUUACCAGUGGUCUGAGGGCAGGCGUUAGAUUACCAGUGGUCUGAGGGCAGGCGUUAGAUUACCAGUGGUCUGAGGGCAGGCGUUAGAUUACCAGUGGUCUGAGGGCAGGCGUUAGAUUACCAGUGGUCUGAGGCGUUAGAUUACCAGUGGUCUGAGGCGUUAGAUUACCAGUGGUCUGAGGCGUUAGAUUACCAGUGGUCUGAGGCAUUAGAUUACCAGUGGUCUGAGGGCAGGCGUUAGAUUACCAGUGGUCUGAGGGCAGGCGUUAGAUUACCAGUGGUCUGAGGGCAGGCGUUAGAUUACCAGUGGUCUGAGGGCAGGCGUUAGAUUACCAGUGGUCUGAGGGCAGGCGUUAGAUUACCAGUGGUCUGAGGCGUUAGAUUACCAGUGGUCUGAGGGCAGGCGUUAGAUUACCAGUGGUCUGAGGCGUUAGAUUACCAGUGGUCUGAGGGCAGGCGUUAGAUUACCAGUGUUCUGAGGGCAGGCGUUAGAUUACCAGUGGUCUGAGG